CUGUUAUCCCCGUGGUAACUUGUUGUAUCCUUCUUAGGGCUAGUUUAUUUUAUAAUAAAAAAGAUUUAGUUUUGUACCGCCCCAGUUAAAAGCUUAUUUUAAGUUCAGCGGGGUCUUGUCGUCUUCACUUUUAAUUUAAGUCUUUUUACUUAAACGAAAAUUUAAAAUAAUUGUUAUAAUAAAGAGUCUUACUCGUUAAUCCUUUCAUUCUAUCCUUUAAUUAAAAGGCUAGUUAUUAUGCUACCUUAGCACAUAAUAUUGCGGCUAUUUAAUGGUCAUUGAGCAGGAAUUACUAAUUA
rnacentral:rRNA from 5 species